GUUAACUCUUUACAGCCUGUGUUGCUUACAGCCUGCUGUGGGCAUAAUUAGCAUUGCAGUAUCCCGCAGGGGAGGGGUCCACACAGUGGUCUUCCUACAGCAGGAAGGAACAGCUGGAUCCCGGGAACAGCAAGGGAGUGACAGGUUCCCCUCCCCUGCGCAUGCGCUGGUCACAAAGGUUUAGUAGAAAGUGCUGGGAGACCCUGACCCUGCAUCAUGCUCCAGGCCUUGGGUAGGGGGUGGGGGUUUUCUUCUUGUAUUAGGCGAAGUGCAUUAGUGACUUAACGGGUGCUGUCUCCUGGCCAUUUCCUGUGUGAGUCAGGUUGCCCAAAGUGCAUGCUGAUGAAGACCUGGAGAGUGAAUCCAAGCUAACUCGACAAGGACCACCAGUAGUGUAUGAUGUCUGCUCUGGGAGAAACGUCCCAGCUGUCGUACCUCGGCUUCCUGUAGUGUUUUGUGGUGUUGGUUGGACAGGAAACUAGAGUGCAGAGCUCGGGUCCUCAUGGCCUGAAGAAGCAGGUCCUCAAACUGCCCCAUUUGAAGGGCUCCUGGUCUCCAUCAUAUCAGAAUUUUGAGGAAUUGGUCUCAGUUGCCUGGAUUGAUUUGUGUUGCUUGUUUCCUAGCUCUCAGUUCUCCGAAGCACCCCCAUUUUCCAGAAGGAAGUGGGGUAGACCAUCUGGAGGCCCCCAGAGAGGUACAGCUGGGCCAGAAAAGACCCAGGGGUACGGGUUGGUGUGCAGUUGGUGUCCCCAGUGUCCCACACCUUGGAAUGCAAAUAGAGAUGUUCUUUAGAGGUGAUAGAACAUUGUCCUAGUUAAGAAAGUUUUGGUGUGGGAAUGGGAUUUGGGUGUCAGUUACUCUGACCGCAGUACGUAGGCAUCAGCCGGACUCACUUCUGUGUCUUCACAGCGUGUAGCCCGGGCCCAGCGCUGUGAGCUGGAGCAGGACACUGAGCCACUCUGCCUGCACCCUGUACCCCGAGCCCCCAAGUCCCCUCAGGAAAGAGUUUGUUUCUUACUGGAAGCAUAAGGAAGAGAGUGAGAGGAGCUUCACAGGCCUCAUGUGUGAUUUUUUUCCCACUAUGAAAUAUCCUUUUGGACGAUCGCCUGCCCUGCAGGAGCUUUGAUGUCCUGGGUGCCCACUCCCGCCCUCAGUCUCCCACCACUGCACCUGGGCAGGGCACCUGCUGCAGGGGCAGCCUGAGGUUCAGGGGCCGAAAUCCACUCCACGUCAUGGUCAGGGGCUGUGCCAAAGCCGAGACUGCAGACCUUCCCAACGGAGUUCCCCACCCGCCUAAACCUUAGAGGACCUCAGGGCUCCCGCUGAUGGUUACCAGAGAGCCACUCUGAGAACGCACACAGUCUGACCUCACACUGUGGACUCGUAAUUGCCAAGGUCCCUGCAGAACUUCGUUUGCUUCUGCCCUCUGGUCUAGCCGCAGACUUGAGGGAGCUGCCCGUGGCCCAUUCUCUAUUGGCUGUGGUGGUCUGGUUUCUGGGAGUCUAGGUCUUAGACACAUUCUCAGUGGCUUUUUCCACGCCUAGCCUUACAUUGUGACUAUACACAGUUCCACUUGUCACAGUUUGUGUCUCUCCAUCCUCCUUAUCCCUCUUUUAUAAUGGCAAUGCAAACGGAAGCUGCAAGAACCAGUUUUACUGACAAGCUUUUUUCCUGAUAAAUGGGCAGAAGUGGAUGUGUGCUCAUCUGCCGCCUUUAGUCACCUGCCUGCUGACACUACCCACAGCCCGACUGGAAGUUCAUGUUUCUGUAUGUUUUUGUUUUCUAGUGCAUUACGGAUAUUGACAGCUGAUGUGGAAAUGGCUUGAGCCUCAAGACACCCAAAGUGGAAAGGAUCACAGACUUUUGAUGGUUUCCGAGCCUGCAAGAACUUUGCAGAUCCAGGAGGAACUUUGAUGGCGACACCGUGACUCAGGCAGCCCCUGGGGUGCAGCGUCAUUGGUCUCUGGGUGGUACUUUGUUAGGAUGAACAUGGUCACAUUUACAGUCCACGUGUCCCUCACUAUUUAAGCAUAAUUCUCCCCUACCCUGUUUGUUUUUGUUUUGUACUUUUUUACAGUGAAUUUCUGUAUAGACACUACAGUAUAUAGGUGUUUAUUCCCACCAAACACGUUUCUGUAUCUAGCAGCUAUUCAGAUGAGUUAGCUGAGUUCCUGACUUACUUCCACAUGUGGAGUGCGCUAAACACAUAUCAGUUUACAGAAAAAAUGUAUUUUUUGUAUAGAAAAUUGUAUAUAUCUUUUACCCAGGAAGAGUUUUUAAACAAAUGAGUACAGUAGUCUUAAAUGAGCUUGCUAUCAGCUCAGUGUUGACUUAUUGAUGCUGUUGGAAAUAAUCCAUGUUCACUAAAAGUGUGAAACCUACAGCAUAUCCUUCCACUCGGAUUUUCACCGACUUUGUCAAUGGUUUGUCAUGAUGUUUAGAAAUAGAAUGCAGAAGCGAUCGCAGAGAAAUCUGCUUGACUUCUGCACUGGCAAAUUCAAAAUGAGAGAGAGACAGGGAGGGAGUAUCUCGAGAGAAAGAUGAUGCUCGAUCAGAAGGUGGAGUCAUCUUUAUAGAUGCUGAUUACAUUUUAAUGGAGUUUUUCAUUCAUAAGGAUAGGUAUCAGUUGGAGUGUCAUUUGAUUGCAAGGUGGGGCCUAAAAUGAAAUGGAAUAAGAUCCUGUCAUGAUUCUUAGAUUUUGUAUCCAACAUGAAUGAAGCCUCUGAGUUUGGUUCUGUGAAAGCACAGAGUCAAUAUGUAUUUAUUUUGAAGGUUAUUCAGCUGGGAUUUGUUACUUUAAAGUGAUCAGCAAUGAAAAGCUGGUCAAACCAAAGUGAGCUGCUUUUCAUGUUCAGAUCACAGUCCAGAUCCAUCCCAAUAAAGAGGAGCUUGGAAAAC
ensembl:lncRNA